rnacentral:rRNA from 1 species
GACGUAGGGCGCGAGCGUUGUCCGGAUUUAUUGGGCGUAAAGAGCUCGUAGGCGGUUUGUCGCGUCGUUCGUGAAAACUCACAGCUUAACUGUGAGCUUGCGGUCGAUACGGGCAGACUAGAGUUCGGUAGGGGAGUCUGGAAUUCCUGGUGUAGCGGUGAAAUGCGCAGAUAUCAGGAGGAACACCGGUGGCGAAGGCGGGACUCUGGGCCGAUACUGACGCUGAGGAGCGAAAGCGUGGGGAGCAAACAGG